UACGAAGGGUGCUAGCGUUGUUCGGAAUUACUGGGCGUAAAGCGCGCGUAGGCGGUCAUGCUAGUCAGGGGUGAAAUCCCACAGCUUAACUGUGGAACUGCCUUUGAAACUGCAUGGCUGGAGUGUGUGAGGGGAUGGCGGAAUUCCUAAUGUAGAGGUGAAAUUCGUAGAUAUUAGGAGGAACACCGGUGGCGAAGGCGGCCAUCUGGCACACAACUGACGCUGAGGCGCGAAAGCGUGGGGAUCAAACAGG
rnacentral:rRNA from 1 species